UACGAAGGGGACUAGCGUUGUUCGGAAUCACUGGGCGUAAAGCGCACGUAGGCGGAUGUGUCAGUCAGGGGUGAAAUCCCGGGGCUCAACCUCGGAACUGCCUUUGAUACAGCACGUCUCGAGUCCGGAAGAGGUGGGUGGAAUUCCUAGUGUAGAGGUGAAAUUCGUAGAUAUCAGGAGGAACACCUGUGGCGAAAGCGGCUCACUGGACCACAACUGACGCUGAUGCACGAAAGCUAGGGGAGCAAACAGG
rnacentral:rRNA from 1 species